GAUGAAGAACGUAGCGAAAUGCGAUACUUGGUGUGAAUUGCAGAAUCCCGUGAACCAUCGAGUCUUUGAACGCAAGUUGCGCCCGAAGCCAUUAGGCCGAGGGCACGCCUGCCUGGGCGUCACACGUCGUUGCCCCCCCAUCUACUCCUUCGGGAUUGCGGGGGGCGGAUGAUGGCCUCCCGUGCGCCUCGUCGCGCGGUUGGCAUAAAUGCCAGGUCCUCGGCGACGCACGCCACGACAAUCGGUGGUUGCGAAACCUCGGUUGCCCGUCGUGUGCGGUCGUCGCGCAUCGAGGGCUCGAAAAAAUUGCCGGGCUCCGGCUCGGCUUUCAACGCGACCCCAGGUCAGGCGGGGUUACCCGCUGAAUUUAAGCAUAUCAAUAAGCGGAGGA
rnacentral:misc_RNA from 1 species